rnacentral:lncRNA from 1 species
GGCGGCGCAGGGCGUCGGGUCGGUCAUCACGCAGGCGGUGUUCAACAGCAUGCUGCCCAACCGCGACAACUCGCAGUGCCCGGCGAGGGGCUUCUACACGUACGACGCCUUCAUCGCCGCCGCCAACUCCUUCCCGGCGUUCGGCACCUCCGGCGGCAGCGCCGAGCUCAUCCGGCGGGAGCUCGCCGCCUUCUUCGGCCAGACCUCCCACGAGACCACCGGUACAUUAUUAGUUACAGUGUGCAGAUUAAUCUUACCGCCAUUUUUUUACCAUCUUGAUCUGAGUAUUAACCGUGGUAAAUUAAUUCAGGUGGAACGAGGGGUAGUUCUGACCAGUUCCAGUGGGGUUACUGCUUCAAAGAGGAGAUAAACAAGGCGACUUCUCCACCCUACUAUGGACGUGGCCCAAUUCAAUUGACAGGGUAACUAUAAUUAACUGCAGAAAUAUUUUUUCCCACUGCUUCAAUAGAGAGAAGUAAAUUAAACAACUAUGUCAUAUCCAAAACAUAAAAAAGAAAGAUAUCAUCUUGAAAAGUACUGGAGUAGGAGCCACAAAAGUAAACCAAUUUCGACCUGGUCGCAAGUUUACUUUAGCUCUUACAUCUUUUUCUUCAUGGUCCAACAAUCCUAUCUGUUGCCUGUACCUUCUUCACCGUAGUUACUCCCUCCGGACUGAUAAUAUUAGUCGUUUUAAAUAAGGGUAUAACCAAAUUUUAAAAGCUUUGAUUAUAAAUAAUUUCUAAAAUAUUUAUCUUAAAAAUAUAAAAAACCAUAUGUGUAGAUUAGUCUUAAAAAGUACUUCAAUAAAAUCAUAUAUUUGUUGAUAUUUCUAUAUAUAUUAUAAUAGAAAAUAGUUAUCAAAGCUAUUUUUUUAAGACCGUGUCCUUAUUCAAAACGAUAAGUAUUAUCAACAUGGAGGGAGUAUCAUCAGAUGCCAUCUCUUCUUAAACUUAGCCACUUCUUUAAUUAGCAGUAUACUUCCUCUGAGUCUACAUCAAAAAGUAGCUAAAAGAAGAAAUAAUUAUAUUAGCAUUUGAUGAAGUUAGGGUUUUUUUAUAUUGGUUCGUGUUGGAUGAGUAGAAAAUAAACUUAUUUUAGGAUGAAAGUAGUAAAAUUCCUACCCUAACGAAACAGAGACCCAAAUCUGAUAUGAUAAAAUGGUUUUUUUUUUAGGCAAUCGAACUACCAAGCAGCCGGGAACGCGCUGGGGCUGGACCUGGUGGGCAACCCAGACCUGGUGUCCACCGACGCCGUGGUCUCCUUCAAGACGGCCAUCUGGUUCUGGAUGACGGCGCAGGGGAACAAGCCGUCGUGCCACGACGUCAUCCUCGGCCGGUGGACGCCGUCGGCGGCGGACACCGCCGCCGGCCGCGUCCCCGGGUAUGGCGUCAUCACCAACAUCAUCAACGGCGGCAUCGAGUGCGGCGUCGGCCAGAACGACGCCAACGUCGACCGCAUCGGCUACUACAAGCGCUACUGCGACAUGCUCGGCGCAGGCUACGGCAGCAACCUCGACUGCUACAACCAGCGCAACUUCGCCAGCUAGCUAGCUGAGUGAUCGAUCGAUCCAUCGGAUUGUUAUCCUAUUGCAUGAUCGUUCGAUCAGUUAGUACUACCAAUAAAAACUGGCAUGUAGUGAUGUAGUAUCCCAACAUGAAUAAAGGUCUUUAAUCAAAUAAAGGCAAAUAUCAAUUGCUUUAACUGCUACAGGCACGACGAUACUGAUCUCACCCCAAAAAUUUACACCAUGUCACAUGGAACGUUUGAACACAUGCAUGAAGUAUUAAAUAUAUACUACAAAAUAACUAAUUGUACAGAUUACAACUAAUUUGCGGGACGAAUCUUUGAGCCUAAUUGCUCCAUGAUUUGAUAGUGUGGUUCUACAGUAAACAUUUGCUAAUGACGGAUUAAUUAGGCUUAAUAAAUUUAUCUCACGAUUUACUGAAAAAUUCUGUAAUUAGUUUUUUAAUAAUGCCCGAACACCCCAUGCGACACCCUAUAUAAUAUCCAAUAUGACACGUCAAAACUUUACACCCCUAGAUCUAAACACACCCUUAAUAUCAUAAUAGUUUUUUUAAGCCAGUCUCAACCCAAUGACUAAGAUGAUGCCCAUAGCAUUAAAUAAGGUGCCACCUAGAAUGAAAGAUGAUGUGGCAAAUAAAUAAAUGAAGAAAGAGAAGGAAACCAGGUCUUACAUGAUACAUGAUUUCUACACAACAUCCAAGAAAUCAUGUGAGAUAAAUAGCAUUAAAUUUAAGUAUAUGGAACAAUAGUGUUUGUAUUGAAAUAGUAGUGUCUGGUACUAGUUUCUUGAUGAUGUGGAGUUUAUGAAAACUAUGUCUAAUGUCUUGGGUUGGGACUGGCCUUAUAAUGUCAUAAUAGUUUAAUAUAUAUCCAAUAAUUCCAUACUAUCAUAAUAUUUAUCUAAAUAGUUUUUUAUACGUGCUUUUUUUAAAAAAAUGAAUUGUCUAGUUGCGCUUUGCUUUGCUUCCUCGGAGAUGGAGCAGGUGCGAGGAAAUUGGCUCAUUGACUUAACCGCCUCUCUAAAAUAGACUCUCCAAACAUCUUUAUAGCAAGCUAUCCAUUUGAUUUAGCAAGUCAAAGUCGUUGCUUGCUCCAACAGCUUCUCUAUCUACCCUCUCUGUGUUAGAGUGCGCAGCUCGGCCCAACAAUCGUGGGCCACCCAGGUCACAUUGGGCCUGCUUCACCACAGGCCCAACCGGAGCCAAAACUUUAGGUCCUGGGCCUACACAACCCAAAAGACUAGUCUGAUUGGUGAGUUUUAAGUCGUGUUCCCCCACUAUCAAUUACCGAUGCAACCCAUGUGACCCCGAAGACUUGUUACCUGGCCUCCCCACCAUGUGACCCAUGGAAAUUGUUCUGAAUUCCAAACCUUGAGCUCUGAUACCACUUGUUAGAGUGCGCAACCCGGUCCACCAACCGUGGGCCACCCAGGUCACAUUGGAUCUGCUUCACCAUAGGCCCAACCGAAGCCACAAUUUUAGGUCCUGGGCCUACACAACCAAAAGACUAAUCUGAUAGGUGAAGACCGCCUCCACCUUUUAAGUCGUGCUCCCCCAUCAUCAAUUACCAAUGUGUGACUAAACCAAACACUCUACUACCCUUCUUCCUCCUCUUCCACCCCAUUUUCCCCACUCACAUCUCCCUUCCUCCUCCUGGACUACAGCCUCCUCCCCACACCCUCUCCUUCGAUGCGGCGACGGCGGACGGCAGGCCGCGGGCGUGCGAAGCAACGAGCUGCAGUGAGCGGCGGCGGACUGUAGUGAGAUGAGGCAACGCAAAGCUGGCGGGCUGCGGCGAGCGGAGGCGGUGGGUGGUGGCGAGCGGAGGCCGGCGACUGAGGCAAGCGGAGGCGGCGGCUAUGGCGAGUUGAGGCUGCGGGCUGCCGUGAGCGGAGGCGGUGGCGGAAGCGGCAGGUGUAGGCCGGCGGAAGCGGCAGGUGUAGGACGGCGGCUGCAGCACCGCCUCCGCUGGCUGCAGUACGCCGCCGCCACUCGCAUAGGAGAGGAUGCGCGCACGGAUGGUAGUCUCGUCGUUGUCCACCAUCCUUUAGGGCUACGGGCGCCAUUGUCGCGGCGAGCGCCGUCAUCGUGGCAGGCGUCGUCGUCGCCGCAUCGUAGCAGUGCUCCUCCCCGUGCCUCCUCGCGUUGUGCUCGAGCUCGCCGUCGAAAUUGGGUGGGAAAGAGACGAAUGCGAGAGAGAGAGGGAGGGGGUGGAGGAGAUUGGCUAUGUGGGGUCCACCAUUGGCUAGCCAAAUAGAGUGGCCAAAUAUAGCCAAUGAGGAGGAUGGUUUGGCCAGCCAAAUAGCUUGACCGGUGAGUUGAAGAGGCUGUUGGAGAAUGUUUUUUAGGUAGCUGUUGGAGAUGCUCUUAGAGAACAAACACUUGAUGACGUGACGACGGACGACUACCGAUCCAACCGUUCCAUGGUGCCGGCAGAUUUGAUCGGACGGUGCGUAUAAAGCCUCUCCCCACGUCGGCGUCGACUUUGACGUGUAGUAUUUUAAGAGGAGAGGCCGUGUUGCGUCUAGGCAUUUCUCGGGUUGGGCUCAGCCCAUGUUUACUUGGGCCUGCAUCCUCGUUGGUUGAGCCCAUAAGGCCUAACCAGGCCCGUAUUUAGUUGGGCGCAGUUUCUGCAUCCCAGUUAAUCCUGAUGACGUCGAACGGUGCGUUUGCCUAGUGACUAUUAGUGGUAAAAACGGAUCGUAUUCGGAUGGAUAGUAGUCAUAUCAUAUUUUAUACUAUAUUUUUUAAGCAGAUUUAGAGCCGGUGCAGAUAACAUACGGAUACAGAUGUGGAGCGAAUUGUUUGGGAUAUCGGAAAUGGUGCGGAGCUGGUGAGAACUCGGCUCGGAAACGAAUAAAAAUUAAUUGGAUAUGACAUGUAUAUGCAAUCGAUAUACAACAUUUAUUCAUCCAUAUUAUUUUCAACAGCAGCAAUGGAUCUAGCUCUUUUGCUUGGUGCCAUUUUAGGUGUCUUGAUGAGUGAUGGACAAUUAAUUAAAAUCCAACCAAUAUGAGCCAUUAACCAACUGUGGCUUUGUGAAAACAAAGCUGAAAUUUAACAAUACAUACAACAUGUUUUAGUUAGGGGCUUAGGAGUACUCAGCAUAUAUAUUUGGAAUUAGGAGGAUACAUGUUUUAGAUCAAUGGAUAUAGGCUGUACCUGGAUGGGCUGGAUUUUUACAUGAUAAAACUGCUCACGCCUAAUGGGCCAAAUUUAGUGUUAUAUUGUAACGCUCCGCUUUUCGCGUAACGUUAAAAACUAAUUAGGCAAAAUCCUAUACGCAAAAAUUUCGUUCUUUGAGUGAGAGUUUAAGUCGUGCCAUGGAUCUCAAUUCAAUCUCCAUCGUUGUUCCCUCUCAUCGCCAUCAAAAUCCUCCACCUCAAGUUUCCAAUCCCGAUUCAAGUUUCCGAAAUCAAAUCCUGAAAUUCAAUCGCCUCCUUUGAAUCCGCACCAAAUACUUGUCCCGAUUCCACAAAUAUCCGAGUCCACCUUGAAUCCAUUCCUUGACUCCUCCCUGUUUCCCUGAGUCCAAGUAAUCAAAUUCGAAAUUCAAUUCCAAAUCCAAAUCCCUUCCAAAUCAUCUCUCUGCAAAAGUCUAUUUGCCUCCCCCUUGGUCGUUGGGCCGAUUCUUCCUUCCUUGGCCCAUCUCCUCCCUCAGCCUCGCACGUGCGUUGCACGCGCCGAGCCGAGCCGAGAGAGAGCUCUCUCGCUCUCUCGUUCUUUCUCUCUCUUGAUGCUUUCUCUCUCUCACGCGCCAACGUCGAUUUCCCACCGGCAUCGCUCAAACCUCCACCGCCUUCGCUCGUUCCCGCGCGCGCUCCCGCCAUGGUGGCCGACCGCCCUCGGUCGCCGUUCGCCCUGGCCCGCCUGCGCCGCGCAGCCGCCAACGCCCACUCUGCCGCCGCCCCCACCUCUGCGCCGCAGCGCGCAUGUGUCCAAGACGCGGAGGCAGCACCUUUCUCUCCCACGCACUCUCUCCUCCCUCAGCUCGCCCAAAAUCGGCAAGGAGCUGAGCUCCUUUCUCCCUCCCCCUUUUUGCUUUUUCCCCGACCGGCGCCACCGUCACCUCCUUUGCCACCCGUGAUCGCCUCUGUCACAGCUUGACCGCGAGUCCGCCACUGCCUCUCCUUGAUCGCCCGUGCUCGGUUCCAUCCCCUCGAAGCUCCACAUCCCGCGCCUAUAAAACCACAGCCGAGCCCCUCCCCUCCAUCUCUCUCAUUUUCGCCCCCACCGCGCCAUUGCAGCCGAACAACCAUCGCCGCCCUGUUGCCGCUCGACCCGAUCUCGUUGUCGCCGUCCGCCGCCGAGCACCGGAGGAACCGGUGCGUGCGUGGGCGCGUGACGAGGAGCUCCGGGCGCCACCUCUCCUCUCUUCCUCCCCGGUCGCGCCCACUCGGUGCCGCGCCGUCCUACCGUCGCGACCACCUCGCCACGACUCCCUCCGAUCCGCCGACGCCGUUUCCUCUCGUUGGUGAGCUCCCCGCCGAAUCCUUUCCUCCUACCGCUCGCUAUGCCGCGCCCGCCACCGCACGCCAUAGCCUGACGCACGAUGUGCCGCGCGCCUCGCCAUUGCUCUGUUUCCGCCGCCGCGCGCAGUCACGCGCCGUCGUCGGGCCCCAGCUCGUCGACCACCCUCGCCAACACCGUCCUUGAGCUCCCUAGGACCUCCCCAAACCAUUCCCUAGCACCGCCGUCGCCCGGCUUGCCUCCGCGCCGUGUCGCCCCUUGAGCCGCCGCAUAACGCCACCGCGCGUGCGUCGCCGGUGACCAUCGGGUCCCGCGUCACCGCGUGCGCGUCGCAACCCCAUACCGGUUCGGCUAAGCCCGAUCCUGCGCGCCCUUCACUCUUCUCGCGCGCGGCCACGUCGGCGUGCCGGCGAGAUUGGCUGCCGCCACCAGCCGUUGUCGCGCGUCGUCUUCCUGAUCCGUGCCGUGGAAUGAGUUCCCCUUCUCCUCCUGCCGCCAGUGCUAGCCGCCCCUCCGGCUUGCCGCCGUUCGCCGGAUCCCGCCACGCGCCGUGAGCCGUCCGAUGAGCCGCCCGGCCUCCUCUCCCUUCCCCAUCCGACGUGACGUCCACGUUGGCGCCACCUCAGCCGUCGGCCCCGCUUGAGCAGGUCAGCCGAUGCCCAGUCAGCAGCCGCCCCCUCUCUCUUGCUCUUGGGCUUGGCCCAGUAGCCACCCUCCUCCUCGGCCUGAUAAGUAAGACAAACAAAGUCCACAUACACUCUCUUCGUCCAAGCCCAGUGUCCAUCACCCAAGAGCUAAAAGUCCACAAUUACUCCCUCCAAUUGCUCCUCUCUCUCUCACCUUCUUGUUGGCCCCACGUGUCAAUGAGUCAAAGAUAUUCUUGGGAAUAUCUUUUUCCAAUACUCCACACAUAUUUCUCUUUUCUAGAAAUUCAAUAAAUCGUUUCCUAUAUUCCAAAUUCCAUAAACCCAUCCUCUUAAUCCGGAGAUUCCAAUAAUUCGUCCCCUCGAGCCCGUAUGUCAGUGGAUGUCAAUAAUAUUCUUGAGAAUAUUAUUUCUAUAAAUUCCAUAAACCAUUUCUCGUAUUCCAGAAAAUUCCGACAAAUCAUCUCCUUGUCCAGAAAAAUUCAUUUAAACUUCCAAAAUUCAUAUCCCUCGAUCCGUUCGUCCGAUUGCCUCCGUUCCACUUCCAGUAAUUCCAUUGAAUUGUGAUCUAUCUAAUAGCACUAUUAAUUAGCCUAAAUAGGACAUUUUAUUUGGUCUUUGCUUAGGUUUUUGAUUGUUUGCGCCUAGUUGCGAUUAUCGGAUAUUUUUCUUCAAGUGGAUUUCUCGAAGAUUUGUGAAGCUUCGUGAAGACCCUGAGCAAGGCAAGCCACCUUUGAACAUAUUGAGCCUAUAUUUGAACUUAAUUAUAUUGCUUGCAAAAUAUUAUGCAUUGAUAGGAUUGCACUUAAUCUGUUUGCCCCGUCUGCAAGGCAAACCGGUGGGCCUACCUAACUUGUUGCAUCUGAUCCUUCUAUUGUUAAUUGUUAUAUCAUGUUCCCUUGUAACCAUCUAGUUGCGCCUCAAUAAUUCGUGCACUCUGUGCGAGUAUUGUCACACCCAGAAAUUCUCGAACCAGAAUUUCUAAGCUGAAUGUGCAUUAAAUCCCUGUCCAGGACCAGCUAGGGUACACAAACGACAAUUGUUGACAUACAGACCCACGUCUUACAAAAAUAUAAAAGAUUACAAAUGCAGCGGGAAAGAUUAAAGCGAGGUAAACCGGGAAGCUUGACUUCAGCAGCGGGCGACUCCACUCCACAGGCAAACCUUGACGGCAGCAACGAAACCAACCUCUCUGAGACGGCUCCAACUGAGAAGAACUUCAACUCUGGUGUGGGGGAAAAGAGAGCAAGACUGAGUACUACCCACUGUACUCAGCAAGUCAUACCGGAAGAGGAGGUAUGAUGCAGGAUAUAACCAAAGGAAGCUAGGGGUUCUUUUGCAUAAAGCAGGCAUUUCAAAGCAGUAGUUGAAAGCAGUAAAACAGCUGUAGUAAUUAAUCAAUAUUAACCAAUCACUGUCCAACGCUACACCACGUUGCAACAGGCCCAACCAACCACCUAAACUACACCAGUUCAUUAAGCUAAACUAGGGGUGAGACUAAUCACGGUGAAUCUGGUUGAUCGCCCAUAACCGCGGGCACGGCUAUUCGAAUAGUUUUACUCUGGCCAGAGGUGUACAACUGUACCCACAAGACACGAUUCCACACAUGUCGCCAUGCCCCGAAGUAUCACCAUGAUACUGCAAAGGGGGAAAUCGUGACAAGACCCUCCACAUAACCUUCCCCUAACCAUCCACACCACGCUAAGGUUUCACCCCCACCCCUCAAAAGGCAGUGGGCAGUCCCCUCUUGCGCCGCGGUGAAUCCGGCAGCUGGACAACCGAACACCUCGGCCGACCCAACUCCAUCACGCCCACCCUCGCCACCGGUGCCUAGGAAAGGGUCGAGCUAUACUUCAGAUCAAGCAGUUACCCACUCCCGCUUGUGGUAAGCACGGUAAGUCUCCCAGGGUUUCUCGUGAACCGGUCCUUAACUGCCAUGGGUGCGACCAGCAAAACCAUGCACUCACAGCCCGCCAUUCAGAAUAUUUUAAUUAACUGACACCCUUGCGGUGGCACCAAUCUAAAGCUAUGCCAAUAGACAAAGUCUAUGUAAUAAUGUGAUCCCCAUUUGUGUACUAGUUGAACUAAGCAUGGCUAAGCAUUCCCUAAGCCAACAUCUAGUCAUUUUGAUACCCAAGUUAUCAAUGGCAUAAGGUAACCAAUAUGUGGCUGAGGAAUAGGACCCAUCCCACAUUACAUUGUAAAAGAAUGCAACAUUUAAUAGAAAUGCGGGAUAUCUGUAAAUUGGGUACAAUAUGAUCAAACGUAUUGCAUGACUUGCCUUGCUCUCGAACUGAUGAGACCUCAGCAACGUCUUCGAGAAACCGCGGAUCGACGAAACGGCCAAAACCUACGCGACAAACAAAGCACACAAGCAAAACAUGCUAUAAGACUACAGAAACAGGAAACAAAACCAUUUUUAAUGGAUUCUUUGCAUUUUUCUUGAUUUACUGAGACUUGAAUGGACUUAAACGGAGCUCGGAUGAAUUACUUAAGAAUUUUAGAAGAUAAACUGUGUUUUUACUAAUAAAGAAAAAGCCUUAAUCAUUUUAUUGCGCAAUAAAGCCCAGGGCUGACGUCAGCGAAGGGGGGGGCGCUGGCACGUGGGCCCCACGGGUCAGCGGCUCCAAAGGGAGGGAGGUGGCUCCUGGCAGGUGGGCCCCACCAGGCGGUGGCUCAAAGGGGAGGCGAGGGAGGCGCCGGCCGGGCUCGGCUCUGCCUCAAGGCCGACCGGCCGACCAAGGCGAGGCGGCGGCGAGGCACGGCCACCGACGGCGGUGACCGGCGGUGCGGGAAGCGGCGGCGACGGCCGAAAGGCGGCGGCGCAUGGCCGGAGCAGCGGCGUGGCCGGCGCUCGCGGGAAGGUGAGGAAAGGAGGGGGAGGGAGGACUCACCGGCGACACGACGACCGGAGCGGAAGACGAAGGCGGCGACGACGACCCGACGAGAGGAGGGGCGGACGAGCGGCGGCGACACCUAGAGGAGGGGAGGAGAGGAGUUAGGGAUGGAGAAGGCGACCGCGACGACCAAAGUGGCUGGCCGGAGACGGAGGGGAAUGGAUAGCUCACCGGCUCGCGAGGGAGAUGGGGUUCCGGUGGGGUUCCGGCGACGCGAGGCAGUGGCCGAGAUGGCCCACACGGCGGCGGAGCUAGCGGCGGCGGCGGCUUGGCGCGGCGGCGGCCCUAGUGGCGACGGCACGCGGCCGGAGAUGGGCGGCGGCGGCGGAGCUCGGCGAGCGCGGCGCGACGGCGGUAAAGGGCGUGGGAGAGGACGGUGAAUGGGGGAAAUGAGAGAGAGCUCGAGUGAGGGUUUUUAUGGCGAGGGAGGGGCGGAAACGGCCGGGGAUGGCCCCUAUUUGGCCGGCGACGUGGAGAGGUGGAGGAGAGAGAGAGGGUGUUGGGGGAUUUCAAAUCCCCCACCACUUGCGGGCGCGCGCGCGCGGGAGAUGCGGGGGAGAGGGCGGCGACGUGGGCGCGAGGUGCGGGCGCAGAGUGGAGGCGCGACGUGGAGCGGAGAAGGCGGCGGUGCGGGCGGUUGGAGCUCCGGCUCCAACGACCGGAGGUAGGGGACGACCGACAGGUGGGCCCCACCUGUCGGCGCCCGAAAGAGAAAGGGAGGGAGGGAGGACUUCGGGGAGGGGAAAGGAGGAGCGGGCCGGCCCAGGAAAGGGGUGCCGAGCGCGGGGAGAGAGAUGGGCCGAUGGCCCAUCUAGAGAAAAAGGAAGGAAAAGAAAAGAAAAAGAGAAGGAUUUUCCUGGGAUUAGAUAUUGCACUUUGGUGAUUUUUAAUUGGUUAAAAUUAUUUCCAAGGCUCUGAAAAUUCCACUAAAAAUCUUGUUAAUGCAUUGGAGCAUGGGGAACUCAAGAAAAAUUCCACCACGCUAUUUUCGAUUAUUAAUUGCAUUUAUUAAUUAUGGAGUUAGCUCUAGGUUAAUUAAGAUAAUUUCUUCGGACGAUUUAUUUAACAAAUAUUUAAAGCAAGGAAAAAGGGGGAAACUUCUAGGCGUGACAAGUAUCGACGGUCGCCUUUAAACUUAAAAUUUGAGUAACUUCUUGGGUAACACUUGGUUUACAAAAUCUUUGGAAAACCCGACGCCUGGGUCGGUGCCUUGUGAAAGAAAAUGAGUUUUAAAAAUGAAACUCGCGACACAAGGCCAUUCCUGGGUGGAAUACUUGUGCGGUCGCAUUUAAGGACCGAUUCCUUCGGAAUUACAUCCGAGCAUAUAACAGUGUGACCACAUGGGUGUAAUGGGACGCUUCUGGCUAAGUAAUUAGCUAAUCAGGGGAACCAUGAUGCCAAGAGACAUGUGGAUUCAACGGGGUGGUGUCGGGGAGAACCCUCGGGCUUCCUAGUACAGUAUGGUCUGGGACCUAACCUGUUGUUGGUCUGGGACCCCUCUCGUUGGCAUAUGGCAACCCUGUGUCGGCUUUGGAAAUGCCUUGUCGUGAAAACCUCAAAGUCGCUAGACGUGGCUGUUCUGCACGGGCUGGGUGACCUAGGUUAGUAACGUCGUGUGGGUAAAGUGUACCCCCUCUGCAGAGGUUAUUAAACUGUUCGAACAGCCGUGCCCACGGUCAUGGACGGAUGUGAGGUAAUUCCUUAGCGUAGUUUUUGUUUUACCCUGUUUUAUGAAAAGGUGUUAAGGUUUGGGAAACCUAAUGCUUGGGAAGCAUUUAGCUGUCCGGGGAACAGUGGGACCGGGAGUCCUUGGAAGUGAUUGGUCGUUUGGGGACCACUAUUAUCGGGAAGUUUGGAAAAUUGGUUUGGUUUGGGAAAACUAGAUUUGAAGCCAAACUCUUGGAGUUGUGCAAAUCUUGAUAAAUAAAUUUGUUACUUCUCACCCCAACCGAGCUGAGACUUUGUCUCGCUCUGGUUGUGGAAAGCACACACUUAGGCCCCCUUUGAUUCAAAGGAAAUUCAUAGGAAUUUUAGAGGAUUUUAUUCCUAUAGGAAUUUUUUCCUACAAAGCCCUUUGAAUCAAAGGAAUAAACCCUAUGGAAUCCUAUGAAAUUCCUAUGUAAUGCCUCUUCCCAUAGAAGUUUUGGAGGAAUUUUAACAAGAGGUAGAACCUCAUGGAAGAAAUCAUUUGAGUCUCUAUCUCUCCUCAAAUUCCUGUGUUUUUCCUGUGGUCCAAUCAAACGGUCAUUCCUAUGUUUUUCAUGUGUUUUGCAAUCCUAUGUUUUACACUUACAUUCCUGUCAGAAUCCUAUGUUUUUCCUAUUCCUCCGUUUUUUCAUUCCUAUGAUUCAAAGGGGCCCUUAGAUUGUUGAAAACCUUGAAAACAAAACUGAUUGCUAAAUAAACAGCCUUCCCUUGAAGCUUGCAUUAACCACCUAAGUUCCCCUGGCUUGCUGAGUACGUAAGUACUCACCCUUGCUCUCUAUAAAAAUAUAGUUCUGCCAGCUCCGAAGAUGAAGUUGAAGUGAAGUGAAGAUUAGGGUUUCGUCCUAGUUCCCUGCCGUUGCCUGUGGCGUUGGGUGUUAGUCCGUUGGUUGGUUCCGCUGCUGCUGCUGUUGUUGGUGUUUGCCUCGUCCGUGUCGCCGGUUGCAUUCUCGGGCUGUCUGAGCUGCAACCUAAGUUAAGGUAAAUAAGUCCUCUAUUAAUUAUAAGGAUUUGCAAUGAUUCAUAUUUGUCACCGUGGGUACCAGCGCUAUGUCCUGGGACUGGUACUGAGAUCGUGGUUUCGUAGGACGCGGUUCACGCCAUUUUCCUACGACACGCUCCUGUCAGGUGCCGUUGUACGGCGGUGCCAGAUUGGGGUGUGACAUAUAUGGGCUGUGAAAUUUAGAUUAUCCGCCAAAAUGUUUAUUGGAUAAUCCACUUAAAAUAGCGGAUAAUCCGUAUCUGUCGGUGAUAUGCACCUGGAGGUACCAAGGUUAAAGGGGAGAGACCGCCCUCAGCAUCCAUGUGGCACCUUCCCCCUAGGAGGUCGGGCCGUGGAUGGGUGGCAGCUGCCCCUUUCGAACCCGAGGGGUCGGACUGCCCCCGACCCCUCCUGGUGGUCACGGCGUGGCCGCCAUGCAAGUGAGGCUUGGUGGAUGCUCCUCAGCGCUCACCUAACCGCAUUUGGUGUAGGCAGAGCGAGCGCAUCAUGACGGAGGUCCUCCCCGUGUCGGCCUUCGUCAGCCGGCAUGAUUUGAUGGGCCUUGCACAGCAGCCGACGUGCAGACGACUUCCGGGUUAAGGCACGAGGCACGCAUUUAAUGUAGAGAAUAUUUUUCCUCUUCACUAGGUGACACUCCCAGUGUAUGUGGAAACCCCUCGGAGUAUAAAAGGAGGUCCGUGUCCAGUGAGGAGGGGGAUCGAAAGGUGGGAGGCUUUGUUCUAGCUUGUACACCAGAGAUUCAGAAACUUUGUAAGCUCAGAAAAAUCAUCAUACACAGGGAUAGGGUAUUACGUUACUUAGCGGCCCGAACUUGGAUAACUCCCUAGUGCCUCAUCUUCAUCGAGAGGGCCCGACCCCCUUGAUUUCUCCCAAUCCUUUCGACUCCUCAACUUUCAUCCGCUGCCCCCCGCCGAACUAACAAAGGAGAGGUCUCACGGUCCCCCGCUCGAGAAGUUCACCCUUCGAUAGUAUCCGUCGAAUAUUACCAAUACCAUAUCCUCAUCUGUAUUCACUUUCAUAUUUAUCAUAUAGCUAAAAAUUUUUACCAUAUCCUUAUUUGGAACGGAUUUUCACCCUAGUGACUAGUCCCAGUGCGCACACGUUCCAGUCAGUCCGAAUUGGACUGUGCCGGCAUUGUCAUCGCAUGCCAUUCAUCCACUCGACUUUGAGAACCCCUAGCCGUCCAAAAUACUCCAUGGAAACUCACGAGCAAACGCCGAAACGCCAUGGAAACAAUUUCCUGUCCUGUUAAUUAACCUUUACCUUGUGUGCACGACAACUCAUACGACAGCGAUCCGUCGUCCUUUUUCUUUGACUCGGUGACUUUGUGAGAGAUGUUUUAUGCCGAUUAUAUCUACUAUUUGAUAUGAUCGUGCGGUUGAUCCAUCGCCGCGCGGUUCACGCGCCAAAUGACGAGUCGAAGUGUAUGCGUAGUUUGACCACAUUCAGGCGAUUCAUAGCUUAAUAAGCUCCGAAGAAGCUAUAUAUACCUCUGCAAUGCUCGCUAGCUAGCUAAGCUGGCAACUGCAAGUGAAGCGGCGACAUGACGACGACGACGACGACGACGAGGAGGUUUGUUCAGCUUGCAGCUUGCGCGGUGGCGGUGCUGCUCGCCGUGGCGGCGAGCGGAGCGGCAGCGCAGGGCGUCGGGUCGGUCAUCACGGAGGCGGUGUUCAACAGCAUGCUGCCCAACCGCGACAACUCGCUGUGCCCGGCGAGGGGCUUCUACACGUACGACGCCUUCAUCGCCGCCGCCAACUCCUUCCCGGCGUUCGGCACCUCCGGCGGCAGCGCCGAGCUCAUCCGGCGGGAGCUCGCCGCCUUCUUCGGCCAGACCUCCCACGAGACCACCGGUACAUUAUUAAUUACAGUGUGCAGAUUAAUCUUACAGCCAUUUUUUUACCAUCUUGAUCU